UCCUACGGGAGGCAGCAGUGGGGAAUAUUGGACAAUGGGCGCAAGCCUGAUCCAGCCAUGCCGCGUGCGGGAAGAAGGCCUUCGGUUGUAAACCGCUUUUGUCAGGGAAGAAAAGGUUCUGGCUAAUACCUGGGACUCAUGACGGUACCUGAAGAAUAAGCACCGGCUAACUACGUGCCAGCAGCCGCGGUA
rnacentral:rRNA from 1 species